rnacentral:rRNA from 1 species
UACGUAGGGGGCUAGCGUUGUCCGGAUUUAUUGGGCGUAAAGAGCGUGUAGGCGGCCCCUUAAGUCCUGCGUGAAAUCCUGCGGCUCAACCGCAGACGGUCGUGGGAAACUGGAGGGCUAGAGUGCGGGAGAGGAGAGUGGAAUUCCCGGUGUAGCGGUGAAAUGCGCAGAUAUCGGGAAGAACACCCGUGGCGAAGGCGGCUCUCUGGAACGCAACUGACGCUGAGACGCGAAAGCGUGGGGAGCAAACAGG